UCUCUGUACUAUAAAAAUGCCAAUCCCACUUGUAAGUUGUCCCCCUUUAACCAGUACUAAAAGACUAUGGUUAGUGUACCAAUUGUUCUGUGCCUCCUUUGAAAAAGUGAAAAGAACUUGGAGAAAGCAGAUUGAAGAACAAAAAGUCCUGACAAGCAAAAGAUUAUCUCAGUGAACCCUGAGGACAGAUGCUAUUAAAGGAUAUUUCCAGACCCCUGCAUAUUGAUUACAUUUUCUGUUUACAACUAAUAUUAUAGUAACAUUUAAGUUUUAAAAUGAGAUUCCUCCCCAGUCAUGACUCAGUUGGGAGCACAUUUAUCUCUGAGAGAAGAUUUUGGAUCCAAGUCCUACUCUAAGACUUUAACACAACAAUCAAGGCUGACCUCCAGUGCAGGACUCAAAGAAUGCUACAGUGUUCAAUGAUACACUACACUGAGGCACUGCCUGCCCUGUCUGGCAAAUAUAAAAGAACUCAAGGGACUAUUUCAAAGCAGAUCAAGUGAAGCAUCCUCGU